rnacentral:rRNA from 1 species
UACGUAGGGGGCAAGCGUUGUCCGGAAUCAUUGGGCGUAAAGAGCGUGUAGGCGGUCCGGUAAGUCGGCUGUGAAAGUCAAAGGCUCAACCUUUGAAAGCCGAUGGAUACUGUGGAGCUAGAGUACGGAAGAGGCGAGUGGAAUUCCUGGUGUAGCGGUGGAAUGCGCAGAUAUCAGGAGGAACACCAAUAGCGAAGGCAGCUCGCUGGGACGUUACUGACACUGAGGCGCGAAAGCGUGGGGAGCGAACAGG